rnacentral:rRNA from 1 species
GACGAACCGUGCGAGCGUUGUUCGGAAUCACUGGGCUUAAAGGGCGCGUAGGCGGGCGAUCAAGUCAGGGGUGAAAUCCUCCAGCUUAACUGGAGAACUGCCUCUGAUACUGGUCAUCUUGAGUGAGGUAGGGGCGUGCGGAACUGAUGGUGGAGCGGUGAAAUGUGUUGAUAUCAUCAGGAACUCCGGUGGCGAAAGCGGCGCGCUGGACCUUAACUGACGCUGAGGCGCGAAAGCCAGGGGAGCGAACGGG